rnacentral:lncRNA from 1 species
UUUUAUGAGUAUUUUCUUAUCGGUUAAACUGAAAAUCGAACCGUUAAGGACUAAAAACCGAUAAAAAAUAUCUUAUUGGUUUGGUUAUUGAUUUAGCAUAUUUAAAAACUGAAAAUCGAUAAAUUGAACCGAUAAUAUGUAAAAUCGAACCGAACCGACCGAUGUACACCCCUAGAGUAGAGUUAGUUUUUAGGGGCAUAAGUGGUGUGGAUGAAUUCCCGAUUUUGUAUAGGGUAUCUUGCCAAAGGAAUGAGUCUGUUCAACAAGUUAGGAGGAAGAACAAGUUAGGAGGAAGAACAAGUUAGGAGG